GUUUCUUAAAGAAGUGAAGUUGUUAUGUAUUGUAUGCAUAUUCUAUACUUUUCAUCAUAUGACCGGGCCUUCAAGUCCCAAUCAGUAGUAUUGAGUUUUUGAUAGUAAUCAAUACAUACUCUUUAUAUCUAGUUCUGAGAAGUUUCCAUUUUUAUUGAGAUUGACAUAACGUUCUAGAAGUAAACAGUUGAAUACAUUGAUCAUCAUUAGAAGUAAACCAGCAACCUUUAACUCUCUUUAGCCACUAGCUCGCUAUUAAUGUUUUGUAUUUCUCUCUUCACUGGCAACCUCACACUUCUCCCAAAGCUUGAAAAUUUCAACAGCUACUCCCUGCAAAUUUCUAUUUUUACUUGGAAGUUUCAGAGAAGGUAAGCCAGAAUAAGUCAAGAAUCUUGCAUAACUAAGAAUUCAGCUAAAUGCAGGUGAAAGAAGUUCACUUAAAGCAAAGUGACAAGGGAGUGGUCUGCCAAAUCUUAAUUUCGUUCUCAGCUAAAUAUGAAAAAAAUUUGUCUAUAAAAAGAAGAAGCAUAAUAAAAGCUUUUGCUAAUCAUCUCACGACCUUUGUUUGAGAAUUCCGCAGGAGUUUUCAUACCUUCACAUUGUCACAGAAGUUUUUUCAGCAGAGAAGUCGUCACUAAAAUGAGAGACGAAGAAGGAAAGUAAUAAUAAUAGAGGAGGAAGCAAGGAGCUAUACCACUACUAUUUCAUUAUUAUCAGCCAAUCAUAGCGCUCUAUUUCUCACCCACUCUCACCAAACGCGCGUUGCGCGAGUGUCUACGAUUCCUGUGUGCUAUAACCCCCAAAAUCGCUUAUGGUGUAACAAACUCGCUUAAUUCUUAAAAACCCAUCGCGUGUGAUUUUUACUCAAAAUCUUAUUAAUUCCAGUGUAAACCAAACCGAAAUGAAUUGUAAUUUCAAAAGCAUGUAAACCAAACCGAAAUCAAUUGUAAUUGUUUCUAUUCAGCCACAGACGGAUACCACUGAGACUGCAGUGAAGAACCUACGAUCAAUUCACUUGUUUCCAUCCCGCCAAAUCCUUCAGCAAUUGCAGUGAAGAACCUAAGAUCAAACAAAUUGAGCAAAGAAUAAAACAAAUACAGAUAUAAAGCUUCGUGUAUAAGAGAUGGGAUUGAGUACCAUGAGAACAUUCUUCGGCAUUACAACAAUGGGGAUGAGAAGUUUCCGUUGCCAAGACGUAGCCGUUUGAGGAUAGCAAGACGUUCGACAUGGUUGAUCAGAUUUUUAGGAGAUUCUUGGGUUUAGUCAUUUCUCUUCUCAGAAACAGAGAAGAUAAAGAGAGGAAUAUGAUGUGUGUUCUGUGGUGGGCUGUUUCAAUAGCUUACGCGUGUAAGUGCCGACCCCAAAUAUUGCGUACUCCAAUUACCAAAAGUUUAGAUUCGUUGAAUACAUGUUUAAAGAAGU
rnacentral:lncRNA from 1 species